rnacentral:rRNA from 1 species
ACAUACCUAUAACGUUGCCUCGGCGGGAACAGACGGCCCCGUAACACGGGCCGCCCCCGCCAGAGGACCCCCUAACUCUGUUUCUAUAAUGUUUCUUCUGAGUAAACAAGCAAAUAAAUUAAAACUUUCAACAACGGAUCUCUUGGCUCUGGCAUCGAUGAAGAACGCAGCGAAAUGCGAUAAGUAAUGUGAAUUGCAGAAUUCAGUGAAUCAUCGAAUCUUUGAACGCACAUUGCGCCCGCCAGUAUUCUGGCGGGCAUGCCUGUUCGAGCGUCAUUACAACCCUCAGGCCCCCGGGCCUGGCGUUGGGGAUCGGCGGAAGCCCCCUGCGGGCACAACGCCGUCCCCCAAAUACAGUGGCGGUCCCGCCGCAGCUUCCAUUGCGUAGUAGCUAACACCUCGCAACUGGAGAGCGGCGCGGCCACGCCGUAAAACACCCAACUUCUGAAUGUUGACCUCGAAUCAGGUAGGAAUACCCGC